CGUAAACCGACACAAAAAGAAGAAACUGAGCUUUCGUCGCCAUUGAAAUGGCUUGCAGAGUUACUGGCAAAACUUCUUUGCCAUUGCCAUUAAAGCCAGUCACAAGAUCAGCCACGCGUAUUGGACGAACUCCAGGUACCUCUUCUUUGAAAGGGAAGGAGCUGGCGCGGUAGCGGUACAUCACACACCUGCUUGUAUUCCGCAUUCUGAUAUUUUCCUAGGAAAUUGUACUCUGACACUUUUAUGAUUAUGACAAUGUUUUCCGUCGUGAAACAUCUUUUUUGAAAUGAAAUGAUCAUUGAAUGAUUUAUUCCUAAA